CCUACGGGAGGCAGCAGUGAGGAAUAUUGGUCAAUGGACGAGAGUCUGAACCAGCCAAGUAGCGUGAAGGAUGACUGCCCUAUGGGUUGUAAACUUCUUUUAUAUGGGAAUAAAAUGUUCCACGUGUGGGAUUUUGUAUGUACCAUAUGAAUAAGGUUCGGCUCACUCCAUUACAGCAGCCGCGGUAAUACGGAGGAUACGAGCGUUAUCCGGAUUUAUUGGGUGUAAAGGGAGCGUAGGUGGAUUGUUAAGUCAGUUGUGAAAGUUUGCGGCUCAACCGUAAAAUUGCAGUUGAAACUGGAAGUCUUGAGUACAGUAGAGGUGGGCGGAAUUCGUGGUGUAGCGGUGAAAUGCUUAGAUAUCUCGAAGAACUCCGAUUGCGAAGGCAGCUCACUGGACUGCAACUGACACUGAGGCUCGAAAGUGUGGGUAUCAAACAGGAUUAGAUACCCGUGUAGUC
rnacentral:rRNA from 1 species